rnacentral:rRNA from 1 species
GCCGCGUGCAGGAAGACUGCCCUAUGGGUUGUAAACUGCUUUUAUACAGGAAGAAACACCUCUACGUGUAGAGGCUUGACGGUACUGUAAGAAUAAGGAUCGGCUAACUCCGUGCCAGCAGCCGCGGUAAUAAUCACU